CGUCGGCAUCUAUCAUGCAGUCGAGCGGACCGACGGGAGCUUGCUCCCUUAGGUCAGCGGCGGACGGGUGAGUAACACGUGGGUAACCUGCCUGUAAGACUGGGAUAACUCCGGGAAACCGGGGCUAAUACCGGAUGCUUGAUUGAACCGCAUGGUUCAAUCAUAAAAGGUGGCUUUUAGCUACCACUUACAGAUGGACCCGCGGCGCAUUAGCUAGUUGGUGAGGUAACGGCUCACCAAGGCGACGAUGCGUAGCCGACCUGAGAGGGUGAUCGGCCACACUGGGACUGAGACACGGCCCAGACUCCUACGGGAGGCAGCAGUAGGGAAUCUUCCGCAAUGGACGAAAGUCUGACGGAGCAACGCCGCGUGAGUGAUGAAGGUUUUCGGAUCGUAAAACUCUGUUGUUAGGGAAGAACAAGUACCGUUCGAAUAGGGCGGCACCUUGACUGUACCUAACCAGAAAGCCACGGCUAACUACGUGCCAGCAGCCGCGGUAAUACGUAGGUGGCAAGCGUUGUCCGGAAUUAUUGGGCGUAAAGCGCGCGCAGGCGGUUUCUUAAGUCUGAUGUGAAAGCCCCCGGCUCAACCGGGGAGGGUCAUUGGAAACUGGGGAACUUGAGUGCAGAAGAGGAGAGUGGAAUUCCACGUGUAGCGGUGAAAUGCGUAGAGAUGUGGAGGAACACCAGUGGCGAAGGCGACUCUCUGGUCUGUAACUGACGCUGAGCGCGAAAGCGUGGGAGCUGAGCCAGGAUUAAACUC
rnacentral:rRNA from 1 species